rnacentral:lncRNA from 10 species
AUCAGGCCCCUGCAACCUUAACUUCUUAGCACUCUGAGCUAACAAACUAGCCCCUAAAUACAGACGAAAGCAGAUGGUGUUGCAAGCGCUUAGUACACAGAGGGAGCUUCUGCAUGCUGUCUCGCUCCUGCAUUGUCACAGCACACUGGGGCUCAGCAGACAGGAGGCUAUUUAUGGAUUCACAAGUUAAGAAGUAUGUGUCUGUUGGAACAGGAAGAGUCCCAACUCCCUAUUGACACCUAUAGGAUUUUUUUUUUUUAAUGGAAGGCAGUUGCUUUCUUAGUUUCACUGAGUGAGAAAAGACAUAGACUGGCUAUUUUCCAGUCUGCCAAGUUUGCAAGAUUUUUAAAGAAGAUGACCUACACUUUAUAUUUGAUGACAGAUAUCACUGAAAGUGAUGGAUUUGGAAAGUCCAUUUCAAUAAAGCAAUCAGCUGACUCAUUGACCUUGAAGUCCAAGAAUAAUAAUCCUUACAGCAAGUGACAUCUAAUACAAGUGUACUUCAGUAAUGUGUGUGUGGUUGUGUGUGUGUGUACACACAUUAGUGCAGACAUCUAAUCUAUGCGUUCACAUUUAGAUUUUGGCAAUGAGAAACUACUGAAGAUAUGGAAAAUCAAGCUUGCUUUUUUCUGUAAGAGAUAUGAAACAAAAUAAUGAGAAUCACGCCAAACAAACACCUACUGAAUCAUUCCAAACUUGUGUUUUUAUAUAGUUUUAAAAGUACACAAUUCACUAAGUAGGGAGGUUUUAAAAUUUCAAUGUUACUGUACGUGGUGCACCUGUUGUCUCAGUUACUCGGGAGGCGAGGCAGGAGAACUGCUUGAGCCCAAGAGGUAGAGGCUGCAGUGAGCCAUGAUCACGUUAAUUGCACUCUAGCCCAGGCAACAGAUUGGGACCUCAUCUCAGAAAAUAAGUAAUAAUAAUAAUGAUCGAAAUGAGCCAGUGAGAGGAAGGGCUGAAGAUACAGGGGAAGAAAUAAUUAAAGGAACAAGUUUCUGGAGAAAUCAGAAGGUGAGUGAAAACAGAACUAAGACAUGCAGUAAGAAGGAAGAGGCAAGAAAUCUGUUUGUAAAAUUGUAUAGCAACAAUAAUCAUCAUAAUUUUUCUAGGGCUGGGUUUUGACAUGUUAUAAUCAUCUGGAGGGAAUCUUUUUCCCUGCAGAAAAGUCUUCUCUACCAUGACAGCUGCUUCGGUUUUGUGAAUGAUUGCCUGUUCAGAAGCCUGUGAAUGCCUAGAUUUAAAAGGUAGACAGAGGCACUGGAGAAAGGACAUCCUUUUCAAUAAAUGGUGCUGGGAAAAUUGAAUAGCCAUAUGCAGAAGAAUAAAACUGGACCCCUAUCCCUCACUGUAUACACAAAUCAACUCAAGAUGGAUUAAAGUCUUAAAUGUAAGACCUGAAACUAUAAAAAUCCUAGAAGAUAAUCUAGGGAAAACUCUUCUGGACAUUGGUCUAGGCAAAGAAUUCAUGACUAAGUCCGUGAUGGUUUUUAUGUGUCUGUGCCACAGAACAUCCAGACAUCUGGUCAAACAUUAUUCUAGGUGUUUCUGUGAGGGUAUUUUUUGGUGAGGUUGACAUUUAAACCAGUAGACAGAGUAGGGCAGAUUUUUUCUCCCAUUGUGGGUGGGUCCCUGGAUGGGUGCCAUCUAGUCAACUGAAGACCUGAAGAGAACAAAAAGGCCAACCCUCCCACCAUCAGUAAGUAGGGAGUUCCUCCUGCCUGAUGGCCUUGAAAAACACUUGUUUCUUUCCUGCCUUUGGACUUGAAUUGAAACAUCAGCUCUCAUGGGUCUCAAACCUGUUGGCACUGAGACUAGAACUGUACCAUUGGCUCUCUUGGGUCUCCAGCUUGCCAACUACACACCUUGAGACUUCUCAUCCUCCAUAAUUUCAUGAGUCAAUGCCUUAUAAUAAAUCUCCCCCUUCACCUUGAACUAACACAGGACCAACCAGACUGGUUUCUGUUGCUUGUGACUAACUACCCUGCUUAACAA